UACGGAUUCGACAGGGGUAGAUCGAGCUCGGGUUGCGUGCCGAGGUUACGACUCGUAAAACGUUACUCAGUUAAAUAUAACUGGCAAAGAAAACAAUUACUCUUUAGCAGCUGCGUAAGUAGCUCUAAAGGAUCCUUCCUGCCAUCGCCCAUGUGGUAGAUUGAAGGGUCUCAAACUUAGUGGGCUAUGCUGUUAGUCGCCGUCUGAGGCUGACAGAAGAACUUAAUCAGACUAGCCACUUGGAAGCCUGUCGUUAGGCUGAAGAGCUGGUGAAAGAUAAUAUAGCGACUACGCCCGUAGAGACUCGAGUGACGAUAUCUCUGGACGUGGGUUCGAUUA
rnacentral:tmRNA from 1 species